GGGUGAGUAACACGUGGGCAACCUGCCCUCGAGUCUGGGAUAACCCGGGGAAACCCGAGCUAAUACCGGAUACGGCCACGAGGUCUUCGGAUCUUGUGGAGAAAGGCGGCGCUUCUUCGGAAGCUUUCGCUCGAGGAUGGGCCUGCGUCCCAUUAGCUAGUUGGUGAGGUAACGGCCCACCAAGGCAAGGAUGGGUAGCUGGUCUGAGAGGAUGGCCAGCCACACUGGAACUGAGACACGGUCCAGACUCCUACGGGAGGCAGCAGUAGGGAAUAUUGCGCAAUGGAGGAAACUCUGACGCAGCGACGCCGCGUGGGUGAUGAAGGCCUUCGGGUCGUAAAGCCCUGUCGGAAGGGACGAAACACGUUAUGGCUAACACCCAUGACGCUUGACGGUACCUUCAGAGGAAGCACCGGCUAACUACGUGCCAGCAGCCGCGGUAAUACGUAGGGUGCUAGCGUUGUUCGGAAUCAUUGGGCGUAAAGCGCGUGUAGGUGGUCAUUUAAGUCGGGUGUGAAAGCCCUGGGCUCAACCGAGGAAGUGCAUCCGAAACUGAUUGGCUAGAAGGUGGUAGAGGGAGGUGGAAUUCCUAGUGUAGAGGUGAAAUUCGUAGAUAUUAGGAGGAAUACCGGUGGCGAAGGCGGCCUCCUGGACCAUUCUUGACACUGAGACGCGAAAGCGUGGGGAGCAAACAGGAUUAGAUACCCUGGUAGUCCACGCUGUAAACGAUGGGUACUAGAUGUUGCGGGAAUUGACCCCUGCAGUGUCGACGCUAACGCAUUAAGUACCCCGCCUGGGAAGUACGGCCGCAAGGUUAAAACUCAAAGGAAUUGACGGGGGCCCGCACAAGCGGUGGAGCAUGUGGUUUAAUUCGAUGCAACGCGAAGAACCUUACCUGGGUUAGACAACACAGGACAGUCCCAGAGAUGGGAUCUCCCCUUCGGGGGCCUGUGGUUUAGGUGCUGCAUGGCUGUCGUCAGCUCGUAUCGUGAGAUGUCGGGUUAAGUCCCUUAACGAGCGCAACCCUUGUCCCUAGUUGCCACCAUUCAGUUGGGCACUCCAGGGAGACUGCCGGUGUUAAACCGGAGGAAGGUGGGGAUGACGUCAAGUCCUCAUGGCCCUUAUGUCCAGGGCUACACACGUGCUACAAUGGCCGGUACAGAGGGUCGCCAACCCGUGAGGGGGAGCUAAUCUCAGAAAGCCGGUCUCAGUUCGGAUCGAAGUCUGCAACUCGACUUCGUGAAGCUGGAAUCGCUAGUAAUCGCGGAUCAGAACGCCGCGGUGAAU
rnacentral:rRNA from 1 species